UCUGAAUAAAACACUUGAAUACAACAAAAGUACAACUGAAUACAGCUGAAUAAAUUCUUGAAUACAACAAAAUACAACUAUCUUCUGCUGAAUAAAAUAGUUGAAUAUAACUAAUUACAACUGAAUACAGUUGUAUAAAACACCUGAAUACAACUAACUACUGCUGAAUAAAAUAAUUAAAUACAACUGAUUAAACCUGAAUACAAGUGAAUACAGCUGAAAUAUACAUUCGAAUAUAACUGAAUAUAAAUAGGCGUUGGGCGAUCUAGAGAGAGAAAUAGCCUUAUGGCUUCGCGGCGACCAACCAAUUCCGGCUGGUCAGCCCCUUAAAAGCUCACCCAGUAGCACCAGUAACUUCUCUAGAUAUCUUCAUCUUCUUGGUGAUUCCUUUAUACAAAUCCUCCAAACUACAAGGCAACGUCCGCUCAAUCAGAGCAGCCUUUCGUUGCACAUUACUUGAUGCACCUUCACCGGCAGCAUUCCUGAAAGAAGUAAAAAUAUCUUCACCAAACAUACCCCUAGGAAAACUUGAACCACCUGCCCCUCCACUACCCAUAUCUAUCAAAAUCAACGAAUUAAACUUACUCUAAGCGAUAGUAAUAGAGUGAUAAUGGAGGAGAACCAAAAAAUUUGGGUGGGAGAAAGGUGUGAAUCUUGGGUUGAGGAAGAAAGAGUAAAGUGUACGCAGAGAGAAAGAAUAUGGUUAGUCAAUUUUAUAGUGAUUAUGUGAGAAAAAAGAUUAAAAAAGAGAGAAAAAAAUUUAUUUAGCAUAAUAGUGCCUUAAAAGUAGGAUAUAACUAUAAUUAAAUAUUUGGCUAUAAAGUGUAAAAGAUAUUUAUAGUAAAUAAUAAAUUAAAAUAGUAUUUAUUUAAAAUAAAUAAGAAACUAAAGCUUUCUCUAACAAAUGCUAAGGCCUGAUAAAAAUGACAAAGUAUCAAAUAUCUAAUGAACCGAUCAUAUUCCAAGAAAAAAAAAUGAGAACAAUGAAAGAAUAGACAUAAACCUCAAAACAAAGUAAUUUUGAAUCUAAAAAUGUUUUAACACCGACAAAUUUGGACAGCUACAAACUCGAUGAAACCGCAAAUGUACCUAAAAACCUCAGAAAGACAACCUCGACGUACGACUGGACCAAAGACCUCCUCACGGAUCUUGAUGGGGAUUUCAAACUCCAUCCAUUUUGAAACAAGACUCAAAAUUGAAGUGUAGAAGCAGUAUAGUUAUUUUUUCUUUUGUGUGUAUAUUGUUUUGUCUUGAAUCCGAAAAUUAGAAAAAGAAAAUUAAAAGCAAACCAAAACCAUAAUCCCCAGUAUCUUUUCUUCCUUUAUUUUUUCGAAAUCAUUUGCUCUCGUCCUCUUAACCUCUCUGCUUUUCCUUUUUUUUUUGUGCGUGUGUGGUGUUCGAAGAUGAGGUGAGAGUGGUCGUCGACUGCUGCUGGGUGUGCGGCUGGAGAUGGAGAAAUGGCGGGUGGAGGGAUGAGGGGUGUGUAAGAUGAUCUUUUGAGGGGUCCUUGAGUUAAUGAAAUUAGGUCUGGUGAAGAGAAAAAGAAGAAGCAGCAUGGGUGGCGGUUGUGGAUGGCGGAAGCUCCUCCUCCUCUCUUGCUGCUGAAGAAGGUGAAAGUUGUUGUGUGUGUAGGUGUGGGAAGGAAUUAAAAUUAGGUCUAGGAUUGUUUGUGGGAAGGGGAUCAGUUAUAAGGAAGGG
rnacentral:lncRNA from 1 species